rnacentral:rRNA from 1 species
AUUGAACGCUGGCGGCAGGCCUAACACAUGCAAGUCGAGCGGAUGAAGGGAGCUUGCUCCUGGAUUCAGCGGCGGACGGGUGAGUAAUGCACAGGAAUCUGCCUGGCAGUGGGGGAUAACGUCCGGAAACGGGCGCUAAUACCGCAUACGUCCUGAUGGUGAAAGUGGGGGAUCUUUGGACAUCACGCUAUCUGAUGAGCCUAGGUGGGAUUAGCUAGUUGGUGGGGUAAAGGCCUACCAAGGCGACGAUCCGUAACUGGUCUGAGAGGAUGAUCAGUCACACUGGAACUGAGACACGGUCCAGACUCCUACGGGAGGCAGCAGUAGGGAAUAUUCGACAAUGGGCGAAAGCCUGACCCAGCCAUGCCGCGUGUGUGAAGAAGGUCUUCGGAUUGUUAAGCACUUUAAGUUGGGAGGAACGGCAGUAAGUUAAUACCUUGCUGUUUUGACGUUACCAACAGAAUAAGCACCGGCUAACUUCGUG